AUGUUAAAAACCAACAGUACAUCAGUCAUCAGUGCCUACACAAAACCUUGUGCAUUCUGUGAGAAAGGCCAUACGUUGGAGCAAUGUUACCAAUUCAGUGCUAAGUCAUAUAAAGACAAAUUGGACUUUUUAAGAAAAAGUGGAUUUUGCUUUGGAUGCUUAGUGAAAGGACAUUUAAGCAAAGACUGUAACAGAAGAAGCACAUGUCAGCUGUGCUCAAAGAAACAUCCUAGCAUGUUACACUUAACCAUACAAGACAAGAUUCCUGAGAAGGAAAUGGUAAAAGUUGAAAGGACUGAAGUUACCAAUUUACCUGCCACAGUGAGUCAUGAGACAAGUGCGUGCACUGGGUCCGGAGACAACUGUGUUCUUGCCAUAGUUCCUGUCAAGAUAAAGUCAAAAAAGAGUGAUAAGUAUUUGGAAGUGUAUGCUUUUAUGGACCCAGGCAGCUCUGCCACCUUCUGUACUGAUGCACUAGUAAGACGGUUGAAUGUCCAGGGUAGAAAGACCGAUAUGAUGCUAAGCACCAUGAACUCAAAGAAACGAGUGGAAAGUUAUGUCCUCACAAACUUGGAAGUGAGUGGAUUGGAGGAAAACUACUUCAUUGAACUUCCCAAAGUGUUCACACAAAUGAGCAUACCAGUGUCAAUGGAAAACAUUCCACAACAACAUGAUGUUGAGAAAUGGCCAUACCUAAGUGAAGUGAAGUUGCCUCACAUUGAUGCUGGAGUGGAAAUCCUCAUAGGAAACAAGGAAUUCAAGCUUCUGGAACCUUGGAAAGUAAUUAAUAGUAAGCACAAUGGGCCGUAUGCAGUGAAAACUGCCCUUGGAUGGGUUUUAAAUGGACCUCUUAGGGAACCUGUUGAAGAAAGCAUUCAUGGAGAUGCACAAACAAAUCUUACAGUCAACAGAAUCUUCAUUGAGAGUGUAGAACAGAUGCUGAUACAACAGUACAACCACGAUUUUCCUGAAAGAAAUUGUGAUGACAAAGCUGAAUUGUCGCAGAUGGAUCACCAGUUUUUGGAAUCUGUGUCUAAAUCAGUGCAGUUUUCCGAUGGUCACUAUUAUGUUGACCUUCCUAUCAAGAAAACAGUCAUCCAAAUGCCUAACAAUCGCACUGCUGCUGUCCAGCGAGCACUAAAUAUCAAGAAAAAAAUUCAGAAAAAUCCCUCCUUUCAUGCAGAGUACACAAGCUUCAUGACUGACAUGCUAAACAAAGGUUACGCAGUCAAGGUGAAUACAUCACACUUAAAUCGUCAAGAUGGUCAAGUUUGGUAUAUACCUCAUCACGGUGUAUACCAUCCUCAGAAGAAAAAACUGAGAGUGGUGUUUGACUGUGCUGUCAGUUUCCAAGGAAUGUCUUUAAAUAGUGAACUCCUACAAGGUCCAGACAUGUCAAAUACACUCAUUGGAGUGCUCACUCGCUUCAGACAAGAGUCAGUUGCCAUGAUUGCAGAUAUUGAAGCUAUGUACUACCAGGUGAGAGUUCCUGAAAAAGACAGUGACAUGCUUCGUUUCCUAUGGUGGCCAGAUGGGGAUCUAAAUCAGAACUUGGAUGAGUACAAGAUGGUUGUCCAUCUCUUUGGUGCUAAGUCAUCUCCAAGUGUAGCUAACUUUGCCCUUAGGAAAACAGCAGAAGACAAUCGUAGCAAGUCAACAGUUGAAGCAGUCAAUACAGUUCUCAAGAACUUUUAUGUAGAUGACUGUUUAAAGUCUGUUUCAAGUUCUGCUCAAGCAGUUGCCUUGCACAAUGAUCUCACAAAACUUUGUGCGAGUGGAGGAUUUCGUCUUACAAAAUGGGCAAGCAACAGUCGUGACUUGUUGGCCUCUGUGCCAGAAAGUGAAAGAAUUGCAGGUGUCAGAGACUUGGAUUUAAGCAAAGAUGCACUACCUGUAGAGAGAGCAUUAGGGGUGUUAUGGUGUGUCAAUUCAGAUGUGUUCAAAUUCAGAAUCAAUUUGAAAGAAAAACCUGUAAGCAGAAGAGGAAUUCUGUCAGUCACAAGCUCCAUCUAUGACCCCUUGGGCUUUCUCGCACCUGUAAUAUUGCCAUCAAAGAUUCUAAUGCAACAGUUAUGCAGAGAAAAACUUGCCUGGGAUGAUGACAUUCCAGAACAGAGUGCAGAAAGGUGGAUUUCCUGGUUAAGUGGUCUAAAUCAGUUGACUGACUUCAGUGUACCAAGGUGUAUUAAACCAGUUGACUUUGGAGUGUCCACUUCAGCGCAGCUACACCACUUCUCAGAUGCUAGUGAGGUGGGAUAUGGAGUUGUCUCAUACCUCAGAUUGUUAAAUGCUGAUGGACUUGCACAUUGCGCCUUCAUGAUGGGGAAGUCUCGUGUGGCGCCACUGAAGCAGACCACCAUUCCACGUAUGGAGUUGGCUGCUGCAGUUGUUGCUGUUAAAACAGACAAGAUGCUGAAAGAUGAACUGGAACUAGAAUUGCAAGAAUCUGUAUUCUGGACUGACAGCACCACUGUUUUGAGAUAUAUUGUCAAUGAAGGACUUCGUUUCAAAAAACGUUUGUUGCCAACAGAGUUGCCACCAUACGAGAGUCAACUAGACCACAACAGUGGAGGUACAUCAAUACCUCAAUGA
ensembl:lncRNA